rnacentral:lncRNA from 1 species
CCUCCCUCCCACCUCCCAGGUCUCCUCCUUUUGCGUUCCAAGGAUCCCCCCGGCGCAUCAGAUGUUACCGGGGUCACCCUGCAGAAGAGGAGCAAGCAGCUCUCCUUCCCACCGGCGCCUGCUGCAAUCUCAGGGGGCUCGGGGCUGCUCUCGGGUCCCAGGUUAAGCUGUCUCUGGGCCGGAAUUCCUGCACCCCGAGCGGCCGAGGCACGGUACGGGAGGGACGAGUCACCCCGGGCUGCCCUUGGCGGCUCCUGCCGAGGGCACCCGGGAAGUUUUCCGGCCAAGGAGAAGGCAGACGAGAGGCACGGGCGGGAGCGGCGGAGCGCGGGCAGGGGCCGAGCCGCGCCGCGCCGGGCCGGGCGGGGGCGGAGGAGGGGGCACGGCCGGGAGGUGGAGCCGGCUGCGCUGGCGGCUCCGGCGCUCCGCGGCUGCGGGCACGGGGCGCGCACGGCAGUGGGAGCCCAGCGCUGCCGGGAGCCGCCGCCGCUCGGUCCGGCCGGUCCGUGCCCGGAGCCGCCGCCGCGGGAGCCGCCAGUCAUCAAAGGAGCCUUUAAAGGAACCUCUAGGAGGCUGAUUGCUAAGACUCCAUAGAUCCCCAGGAAGACAAAGGUAAGCUGCUACCUUUCUUCAGAGCCUUCAACUGUGAACCUGUUCUCUCAAUGAUAGCUGUAAUAUGAGGCCUUUUCAAGGACUGCAUCCUUUGCCCUAUAAAGUCAGUUUGCAUCUUCUAAUCACAGAAUGACCUGACUACUUUGCAUCCAUUUCAUGUCUAAAUUCUGCCCAUUUUUUAAGUAUACCUAAAUUAUUGGGAAAAGCAAGCUAUUGAUGUAAGAUUUCACUCUUUUCUUCUGAAUCGG